AGAGUUUGAUCCUGGCUCAGGAUGAACGCUGGCGGCGUGCCUAACACAUGCAAGUCGAACGGACCUGAUUCGUCUGAGGCUUCGGCGGAAGAUGAUGACUGGUUAGUGGCGGACGGGUGAGUAACGCGUGGGUAACCUGCCUCAAAGAGGGGGACAACAGGGAGAAAUCCUUGCUAAUACCGCAUAAGCGCACAGUACCGCAUGGUACAGUGUGAAAAGAUUCAUCGCUUUGAGAUGGACCCGCGUCUGAUUAACUGGUUGGUGAGGUAACGGCCCACCAAGGUUACGAUCAGUAGCCGGACUGAGAGGUUGAACGGCCACAUUGGGACUGAGACACGGCCCAAACUCCUACGGGAGGCAGCAGUGGGGGAUAUUGCACAAUGGGGGAAACCCUGAUGCAGCGACGCCGCGUGAGUGAAGAAGUAUUUCGGUAUGUAAAGCUCUAUCAGCAGGGAAGAAAAAUGACGGUACCUGACUAAGAAGCACCGGCUAAAUACGUGCCAGCAGCCGCGGUAAUACGUAUGGUGCAAGCGUUAUCCGGAUUUACUGGGUGUAAAGGGAGCGCAGGCGGUACGGCAAGUCUGAUGUGAAAGCCCGGGGCUCAACCCCGGUACUGCAUUGGAAACUGUCGAACUAGAGUGUCGGAGGGGUAAGUGGAAUUCCUAGUGUAGCGGUGAAAUGCGUAGAUAUUAGGAGGAACACCCGUGGCGAAGGCGGCUUACUGGACGAUCACUGACGCUUAGGCUCGAAAGCGUGGGGAGCAAACAGGAUUAGAUACCCUUGUAGUUCCACGCCGUAAAACGAAGAAAUAUAGGGGUUGGGAGGCCAUUACCUUUCGGUGCCGUCGCUAAAGCAGUAAGUAUUCCACCUGGGGAGUACGUUGCAAAGAAUGAAACUCAAAGGAAUUGACGGGGGACCCGCACAAGCGGUGGAGCAUGUGGUUUUAAUUCGAAGCAACGCGAAGAACCUUACCAAGUCUUGACAUCCUUCUGACCGAUACUUAAUCGUAUCAUCUCUUCGGAGCAGGAGUGACAGGUGGUGCAUGGUUGUCGUCAGCUCGUGUCGUGAGAUGUUGGGUUAAGUCCCGCAACGAGCGCAACCCUUGUCCUUAGUAGCUAGCAGUUCGGCUGAGCACUCUAGGGAGACUGCCAGGGAUAACCUGGAGGAAGGCGGGGAUGACGUCAAAUCAUCAUGCCCCUUAUGACUUGGGCUACACACGUGCUACAAUGGCGUAAACAAAGGGAAGCAGAGUCGUGAGGCCGAGCAAAUCUCAAAAAUAACGUCUCAGUUCGGAUUGUAGUCUGCAACUCGACUACAUGAAGCUGGAAUCGCUAGUAAUCGCGAAUCAGAAUGUCGCGGUGAAUACGUUCCCGGGUCUUGCACACAAAGCCCGUCA
rnacentral:rRNA from 1 species